AUCAAAUCAUUUGGUUUUUUUUGCGAUGGUGCUACUUUUUUUUGUGAGAAUGACAAUGACGUCUUAUGCAUACCUAGUACUUUCUACUCUACCAUUAGAAUUCACUUUUUUUGGGUGAAAUUAAGAGUUUUCACCCACCUAUUUACUCUUUUUUUUUCCUCCUUUUUCUAUUCUUUGAAGAGAUAGAAUACACUUGUUUGUCCUAUUUACUAAUUGGAACUUGGAAGUACUAAACCAAGUUUUGUCAAAUUAGUCAGCUUUUCCAUUAACUUAUCUAACUUGCAUUGUUUGAUUAGGAGUUGGCAUGGGAAGCUUCAUGUUUUUUG
rnacentral:misc_RNA from 1 species